rnacentral:rRNA from 1 species
AUUGAACGCUGGCGGCAUGCCUUACACAUGCAAGUCGAACGGUAACAGGCCGCAAGGUGCUGACGAGUGGCGAACGGGUGAGUAAUGCAUCGGAACGUGCCCAGUAGUGGGGGAUAGCCCGGCGAAAGCCGGAUUAAUACCGCAUACGACCUGAGGGUGAAAGGGGGGGAUCGCAAGACCUCUCGCUAUUGGAGCGGCCGAUGUCAGAUUAGCUAGUUGGUGGGGUAAAGGCCCACCAAGGCAACGAUCUGUAGUUGGUCUGAGAGGACGACCAGCCACACUGGGACUGAGACACGGCCCAGACUCCUACGGGAGGCAGCAGUGGGGAAUUUUGGACAAUGGGCGAAAGCCUGAUCCAGCCAUGCCGCGUGCAGGAUGAAGGCCUUCGGGUUGUAAACUGCUUUUGUACGGAACGAAAGACUCCUUCUAAUAAAGGGGUCCAUGACGGUACCGUAAGAAUAAGCACCGGCUAACUACGUG